GCCGGCCCAUAUCCUGCUUCAGUGUUCUGUUUCUUUCCCGUCUUUCUUCGUCGUUCUUCUUCGUUCUUAGGUGUCUCCGUGGCCUGCUUCGCUUCCCCAACUUCCAAAUUGCGAGCUCGGAGCACGGAUCAGAUCGCCGAGUCGCGCGCCCCUCGCCCCCGGCUCCAUCCCACUUCGUCCGGAGCCUCAGGUUCGAUUCGCUCCCCGCACUGAAUUCUCGGGGUCUAUUCGUGUUUCUUGUGAGGCGAUUUCGUCUCGUUACUGGACUAUUUGUUCGGUUGUUUCGUUAGUUUACCGCUGUGCUUUGAUCCGAUUCGGCCCUGAUGCAUCUCCGGCCGAAACGAGGGCAUCUUCCUGGCGACUUUUGUGUACCCUGUGUGACUUUUUCGAAGGCGUGUUAAGAAAAUCAGAGCUAGGGUUUGUGCUGGAGAUGUUCGAUCCGGUAGCCUGAAUGCGAUUCUGGUAUUUACCUGGUGAAUGGAUGCUGUUGCUGCCUGUGAUAUAGUGAGGAGGCGUGAUUGGUUAGUCCAGCAUUUAAUUUGUACUAGCAUACACGGAUGAGAGCAUAUAAAUGCAUAGUUAAGUAUUUCACGACAGCCCAUCGCACUGUAAUAGGGGCACUACUGCAGUGCUACUGGAUUGAGCGAGGAGUAACAUGUCAGGCUUUCAGCCAUUCCAAUCAGAUUUGGUUGGGUGAGCAUUGCAAUUCUGCAGGUGUAGUACGGUACAAAUUUGAUAUUUUCUGCAGCUGUGUUAGAAUAAAAUAGAAUGUAUCGAUGCAAGAUUGGUUGCUUCACUUUUGUUACUCCAGAUAUAAUGCCAUAGCGAAAUUAGCAUCUUGAUCUCCAUGUUUGAUACUGUAGGAGGUGCUGCAAGUAAGGGCUCAAUGUGUAGCCUAUUGAUUUUUACUUCAUUGUGUUAUGGUAGAUAGGUUAGUGUGUGUUUUGUUCAAACUGCUACAUCUUGAUACAGAUUCCGGACUUGAGUACUGGGUACAACUCUGUGGCCCUGUUUCCUAUAUCAUCUAUCACAGGUUUAGUUAUUAAAAAAUAAUCUCACAAACAUUUCACAUGUCCUGAUACUGUUCAAAGUAGAAAACCAUUCAUGCUUUUAUUUUUGUUCAAGGUAAAAAAAAAAAAAACGGUUCAUACAUAGAAUCAGUUCAUGCUUUGCACGGAUAUUGAAAUAAAAGCUCCGUUCAUGCGUUUAUUUAUGUUCAAGGUAGAAAACCGUUCAUCUUGACAAAGGAUAUUGAAAUAAAAGCUGCGUUCAUGCGUUUAUUUAUGUUCAAGGUAGAAAACCGUUAAUUCCAAGAAUGCGUUCAUGCUUUGCAUUUUUAUUUAAGGUACGCAACCGUUCAUUCCAAGAAUCGUUCAUGCUUUUAUUUUUGUCCAAGGUAGGUAAACCGUUCAUUCCAAGAAUCCUGUCAUGCUUUUAUUUUUGUUCAAGGUAGAUAAACCGUUCAUUCCAAGAAUCUGCAUGCUUUUAUUUAUAUUCAAGGUAGAAAGCCACUAAUGCCAAGAAUCCGUUCAUGCUUGGAUUUAUAUGUUCCUUGUACGAAAUCUUUCAUGCCAAGAAUCCGUUCAUGCUUGCAUUUUUGUUCAAGGUAUGAAACCGUUCAUUCCAAGAAUCCAUUCAUAAUUUUAUUUUUGUUCAAGGUACGAAACCGUUCAUUCCAAAAAUCCGUUCAUGCUUUUAUUUUUGUUCAAGGAAGAAAACCGCUCAUGCCAAGAAUCUGUUCAUGCUUUUUAUUUAUGUUCAAGGUAGAAAACCUUUAAUUCCAAGAAUACGUUCAUGGUUUAGUUUUUUGUUCAAGGUUGAAAACUGUUCAUGCUCGUAUUUUAUGGUCAAGCUACCAAAGUCGUUCAUGCUUGCAUUUAUGUUCACGGUUCGAAACCAUUCAUUCAAGAAUCCGUUCAUGCUUUUAUUUCUGUUGAAGGUAGAAAAUAGUUCGUGCCAACGAUCCGUUCAUGCUCGUAUUUAUGGUCAAGGUAGGAAACCGUUCAUGCCAAGAAUUUGUUCAUGCAUUAUUUAAUGUUGAAGCUAUCAAAACUGUUCAUGCCAAGAAUCUGUUCAUUCUUGUAUUUAAGGUCAAGGUAGGAAAUCAUUAAUGAGAGGAAUUCGUUCAUGCUUAUAUUUUAUGGUCAAGGUAGAAAACCGUUCAUUCCGAAAAAAUCUGUGCAAGCUUUUAUUUAUGUUCAAGGCACCGCUCAUGCGAAAGAAUCAGUUAAUGAUUCUUUUCCAAGGUAUGAAACCGUUCAUUCCAAGAAUCCGAUCAUGCUUUUAUUUUUUGUUCAAGAUAGAAAACCGUUCAUGCCAAUAAUUCGUUCAUGCUUUUAUUGUUGUUCAAGGUAGAAAACAGUUCAUUCCAAGAAUCCGUUCAUGCUUGCAUUUAUGUUCAAGGUACGAAACCACUCAUGCCAAGAAUCUGUUCAUGCUUACAUUUUUUUUCAAGGUUCGAAACCGUUCAUUCCAAGAAUUUGUUUUUGUUCAAGGUAGAAACCGUUCAUUCGAAGAAUCCAGUCAUGCUUUUAUUUUUCAUUCAAUGUAGAAUUCCCAGAAUCCGUUCAUGCUUUAAUUUAUGUUGAAGGUAGAACUGCUCAUGCCAAGAAUCCUUUCUAUUUUGUCUCCUAUUUUUUUAUGCUUAUUGGAAUUUUCUAUUCUUCCAAUUAAUGCUAAUAUGAUUCUGGGAUUUUUGUCAUUCAGUUCAUUAGAUGGUACAACAGAAUUGAAGUACAAUCAUUUUCAAAUGUUAGCUUCAUAUUCUUUUAAUUCUUCAGUAUUUGACUUUUUCUUUCGUGUAUGGAAUUUAUACACUCUUUGGCAUAUGUUAAAAAAAAGUUUGACGUUCAAGCCAUACGUGAAAAAUCUCUACUCAACUUGUGAUAAGCAAGUAUGAUGAGAAUGAGAUACCAUUAUCAAGACAAUUCAUUGCUAAACAUACCAGUACUUUUUUUUACCUAUUUUCAUUAUGCCCUUCCAUCAUGUCACACCUUAAACCUUCUUUUCGUUGGUACUAGCCUACACUGUCUUGUCCAUUUGAUGGCAAAAUUAUUCCACUUUCUAACAGUUUAUAGCAGUGGUUAUGAGCACUAUAGUUAUCCGUGGGUAAAGUGUUCAUGGCACUUUUCAUCCUUUGUUUUCGUUCCCCAAAUAGUCCAGUCUCGUCAAAUUGUGUCAUCUUCAGAAACUUUUCAUCCCAUCUCCACAAGAAGAAUAUGAACAUAUAGAAACAUAAGUUAUAGAAAAGAGUAUAUUCGGUAACUCUGAACUUUAUAUUUUCAUCUGUGAAAAUCCCUGAGCUUCUUCAGCCAGAACGUCAUGGGAAACAUGAAGACUCUGAAAUGCAUUGUCAAUCCAACUUGUGGUAAACAGUAAAAUGAAAUUUCUCACUCUUUCGCAGGUUCCACACCUUCUUCAUUGACCAAAGUUCACAUCCUCCGAGCAGGAAGAGAUGAUAUAUCAUAAAAAUAUUUCAUAAAGGAAAGGAACACAACACAAGCAUGGAAAUGCUUCUCCUACAAGGCAAGGAGAUUCACAGAUCAUUCGGAAGGAAAGCAUCGAAAACGAGUUUCCAAGUGAUAAACAUGAAUUCUGUGUACCCAGACAGAAAAAUGUUUUGUCCCUAUUUGUCACAUUUUGACAGUUUUUUCUCAUUGAUGUGUAUUACGUGCUAUACAAACGGGGAAGAAUCAGUACAGUUCACUUUUAUCAUGUA